GGUCUUGGUCUCAACCUCAC
rnacentral:rRNA from 1 species